UAAAAAAUAAAAUAAAAUAAGGGUAUAAAAAAAAAACUCUGUAAAUAAAUAGGAAAGAUGAUUUGUUAAGGCGGGACCGAGAAAUGCUCCUCAGCAGAAAGUGUUCUCAGUUCCAAGCUUCCCGCUUUCUUACCUUUGAAACCUCCCAUAACCCACACCAUCAGCUUCUGCAUAUAACUCAGAAGCUCUUACUCUACUUGCAACAAUGCGUUUCCGCCAAACAAAUCCAACAAAUCCAUACCCAAUUCCUCAUUCGUUCCAUUUACAAACCCAACUUUCUUCUCCGCAAAAUCAUUCACCUCCAAGACUUCAACUAUGCCACUCUUUACUUCUCCCACAUCCCGUCCCCCAACGAGUAUGGGUUCAACAUUAUGAUCAGAGGGCUCGCUACUACGUGGCAAAGGUUCGAUUUCGCCUUAGAAUCUUAUUGCAAGAUGAAGUCUUUAGGCCUAAAACCUGAUAACUUUACUUACCCGUUUGUGUUCAUAUCUUGCGGGAGCCUUCCGGCUGCUCAACUUGGCAAGUCAACUCACUGUGAGGUGGUGAAAACUGGGUUGUGCCUGGAUUUUCACGUUAGGCAUUCGUUGAUCACGAUGUACUCAAGGUUCGGUAAGUUGGGAUGCGCGCGGAAGGUAUUUGAUGAAAUGGCUGAGAGAGAUUUGGUGUCAUGGAAUUCGAUGAUCUCAGGGUAUUCUCAGAUGGGUUAUGCUAGGGAGGCGGUGGAAUUGUUUGGGGAGAUGAGGAAUCAGGGGGUUGAACCCAAUGAGAUGACACUUGUGAGUGUUCUUGGAGCUUGUGGGGGCUUGGGGGACUUGAAUUUGGGGAGGUGUGUCGAGAGCUAUGUUCUAGAGAAAAAUUUUGAACUAAAUUCCUUCAUAGGCUCUGCUUUGAUUAAUAUGUAUGGGAAAUGUGGUGAUUUGGCUUCAGCCAAGAGGAUCUUUGAUGGCCUGAGGAAGAAAGAUGUGAUCAUAUGGAAUGCAAUGAUUUCAGGAUUUGCACAAAAUGGAUUUUCUGAUGAAACAAUUUCAUUAUUCAACACCAUGAAGGAAGCAGGAGUUAAUCCUAAUAAAAUCACAUUGGUUGUAGUGCUCUCUGCAUGCGCCUCUAUUGGAGCCCUAGAUAUUGGGAAAUGGAUUGAUGAAUAUGCAUCAACAAGAGGUUUGAAGCAUGACAUCUAUGUUGGUACAGCAUUAAUUGACAUGUAUGCAAAAUGUGGAAGCCUGGAUUCUGCAUACCAAAUUUUUGAAAACAUGUCCAUGAAGAAUAGAGUCUCAUGGAAUGCAAUGAUCUCAGCUCUUGCUUUUCAUGGGAGAGCCUUUGAGGCUCUGUCUCUAUUUGACCACAUGUCAGCUGAGGGUGAUGUUAACCUCCCAGAUGAUAUCACAUUUGUUGGAGUACUUUCUGCAUGUGUGCAUGCAGGAUUGGUUGAUGAAGGUUACCGAAUCUUUAGUUUGAUGAAAUCUCAUGGACUAGUUCCAAAAAUUGAGCAUUAUUCUUGCAUGGUUGAUCUUUUGUCUCGUGCUGGGUGUGUAGAGGAAGCAUGGGACUUAAUUGAGAAGAUGCCUGAGAAACCUGAUGAGGUUUUAUUAGGUGCAGUGCUGGGUGCCUGCCGCAAGGUAAAAAAUGUUGAAAUUGCUGAACGUGUCAUGGAGCUUAUUCUACAGAUGGAACCAUCAAAUUCUGGUAAUUAUAUAAUUUCUUCAAAGAUAUAUGCACAUGCGAAGAGAUGGGAUGAAUCAGCAAAGAUGCUCAGAUUGAUGAAAGAGAAAGGGGUGACUAAAACACCUGGUUGUAGCUGGAUUGAGAUGGAUUCUCAAGUUUUUGAGUUUCAUGCUGGUGAUUCAGUAAAUCAAAACACAACAGAAAUUUAUGAAGUUCUUCAGUUGCUAUAUGAGGAGUUAAAGAUAGAAGCUGACUCAUUAACUGCUGAUUUUGCAUAGAAAGGUUUUGCCAAAUGGAUACAGGUGGCAUACUGUAUUAUGAAUUCAAGGAGUGAUAAUUGAAUAUUUUUGAGUGUAUAUUGGGUGGCUGGAGUGCUGGACUCCUAUAUCUGAUUUGAGGUGAGGUGGAUCCGUAGAAUCACUCUUGCAGAUGUGCUGAGGAAAGGAAGGUCACACCGUCAAAGUGCACAAGAGUUUCAUGCUUUGUGAUAUAUGGACAAUCCAGUUACUGGUUAACUUCAUGUAAACAAGAUCCAUAUCACAAAAUGGUGUGUCCUUUAUGCCUAUGCCCUUCUGUGAUGCAGUCAUACUAUUUUUAUUGUUUGAUCAGUUGAUCCAACUUAAUUCGUGGAGAGGUUUGCCAUCUCAAAAGGUGGACAUAGUGAUGAAGAUAUGAAAAGGAAGCUUGG